GGUUCUUGUUGGAUUAAAUGAUCAAAAACCUGCAAAGUCCUGGAACAACUGUGCCUAGCACACAGUUACUUGAAGUUUUAGUACUUCCUCUUCUUCUCGUUUUGUUCCUCCAGCGCAAUAUUGCCCUUGCACAUAGCAAAUGUUCUUAUUUAGUAUCAUAUACCCAAAUAAUAUGGAUAUUUUAUGCAGAGCUAUAUUUUACAAAU
rnacentral:lncRNA from 1 species